UAGUGGCGAACGGGUGAGUAACACGUGGGCAAUCUGCCCUUCACUCUGGGACAAGCCCUGGAAACGGGGUCUAAUACCGGAUAACACUUUCCUCUGCAUGGGGGAGGGUUGAAAGCUCCGGCGGUGAAGGAUGAGCCCGCGGCCUAUCAGCUUGUUGGUGGGGUGAUGGCCUACCAAGGCGACGACGGGUAGCCGGCCUGAGAGGGCGACCGGCCACACUGGGACUGAGACACGGCCCAGACUCCUACGGGAGGCAGCAGUGGGGAAUAUUGCACAAUGGGCGGAAGCCUGAUGCAGCGACGCCGCGUGAGGGAUGACGGCCUUCGGGUUGUAAACCUCUUUCAGCAGGGAAGAAGCGUGAGUGACGGUACCUGCAGAAGAAGCGCCGGCUAACUACGUGCCAGCAGCCGCGGUAAUACGUAGGGCGCAAGCGUUGUCCGGAAUUAUUGGGCGUAAAGAGCUCGUAGGCGGCUUGUCGCGUCGGAUGUGAAAGCCCGGGGCUCAACCCCGGGUCUGCAUUCGAUACGGGCAGGCUGGAGUGUGGUAGGC
rnacentral:rRNA from 1 species